GUAAACGAUGUCGACUUGGAGGUUGUGCCCUUGAGGCGUGGCUUCCGGAGCUAACGCGUUAAGUCGACCGCCUGGGGAGUACGGCCGCAAGGUUAAAACUCAAAUGAAUUGACGGGGGCCCGCACAAGCGGUGGAGCAUGUGGUUUAAUUCGAUGCAACGCGAAGAACCUUACCUGGCCUUGACAUCCACGGAAUUUGGCAGAGAUGCCUUAGUGCCUUCGGGAACCGUGAGACAGGUGCUGCAUGGCUGUCGUCAGCUCGUGUUGUGAAAUGUUGGGUUAAGUCCCGCAACGAGCGCAACCCUUAUCCUUUGUUGCCAGCACGUAAUGGUGGGAACUCAAAGGAGACUGCCGGUGAUAAACCGGAGGAAGGUGGGGAUGACGUCAAGUCAUCAUGGCCCUUACGGCCAGGGCUACACACGUGCUACAAUGGCGCAUACAAAGAGAAGCGACCUCGCGAGAGCAAGCGGACCUCAUAAAGUGCGUCGUAGUCCGGAUCGGAGUCUGCAACUCGACUCCGUGAAGUCGGAAUCGCUAGUAAUCGUAGAUCAGAAUGCUACGGGAAACU
rnacentral:rRNA from 1 species